rnacentral:rRNA from 1 species
UUUCUAGAGAGGAUGAUGCACACAAUGGGUUUCGCUCCUGUUUGGCGAGGAUUGCGCCAAGGCGACUCUUUGUCACCAUACUUAUUCAUCAUAUGUGCCGAAGCUUUUUCCAUCCUUCUGCAGCGGGCAGAGUCAGACCAAUCUAUUGAGGGUGUUCGGAUUUGUCCAGGGGCCCCGAGCAUAAACCAUCUAUUCUUUGCUGAUGAUUCAUUGAUCGUAAUGAAAGCAACAGUUGCAAGUGCAUCCAAGUUACAAGAAAUACUUGAUCUGUAUGAGGUUCAGUCUGGACAAAAAAUAAACAGGGACAAAUCCUCAGCUUUUUUCAGCAAGAAGACGGAGAACGACAGCAAGCAGCAGGUGUUGCAAGUACUUGGUAUUCUCUCGGAAUCACGAAACGAGCAAUAUCUUGGGCUGCCGGUGCAUCUAAGAUUAGCAAAAAGCAAGGAGUUCGAAUACAUCAAGGAGAGUAUAUGGAGGAGGAUUCAAGGAUGGAUUGAAAAGCUGCUCUCAAAAGUGGGGAAGGAGACCCUGAUAAAGGCAGUAGCCCAGGCCAUCCCCACAUAUGCAAUGUCAUGUUUUGACCUCACAAAAAGCCUAUAUGAUGAAAUUAGUGCUAUGAUUUGUCGGUACUGGUGGAGCCAG